rnacentral:pre_miRNA from 1 species
AAUGUAUGACGCUGUUAACUUUUUAAUCAACGUUUGACCAUUUGUCUUAUUCAAAAAAUUUAUGUUAUUAUUAUUUAUUUUAUCGUGACUUGAUUUAUUAUCAAUUGUUCUUUAAGCAUGAUAUAAAUAUUUUUAUAUUUACACAAAAAAAUUUGAAUAAGACGAAUGGUCAAACGUUGAUUAAAAAGUCAACGGCGUCAUACAUU